rnacentral:rRNA from 1 species
GACGAACGCUGGCGGCGUGCCUAAUACAUGCAAGUCGAACGCAGUGGGGACGGGUGAGUAACACGUGGGUAACCUCCCAUCAGAGGGGAUAACACUUGGAAACAGGUGCUAAACCGAUACUGAUGGAUGGACACGCGGUGCAUUAGCUAGUUGGUGAGGUAACGGCUCACCAAGGCCACGAUGCAUAGCCGACCGUGAAGGUUGUGCGGCAACACCGUGACUGAGACACAGCCCAAGCUCCUACGUGAGGCAGCAGUAGGGAAUCUUCGGCAAUGGACGAAAGUCUGACCGAGCAACGCCGCGUGAGUGAAGAAGGUUUCCGGAUCGUAAAACUCUGUUGUUAGAGAAGCGGUAUCUAACCAGAAAGCCACGGCUAACUACGUGCCAGCAGCCGCGGUAAUUC